GAUCCGCUCUGUCGUUAUUGGUCAGUUGCUCAGAACGCUUCUCAGAAAUUUCACGCCCCUUUUACCAUAUUGGGAAGUCUGCAGCUCCGGCUUCGAGGGCAGCAAAAACACCGUGAGACCCGGAGUCUGAAACCGAAGGAGAGGAUGAACAACCAUCACAACCUUUGCCACGACGGCUGGAGCAGGACGUUUCAGUGUGCAAAAUGCCUACAGAAGCAGAAAAGGUGUGCUGCAGAGAAAUACCACAGGUCAUUUUUACAAGUACGCUGUACAGGGGUGUAACACCUGUUCCUUCCACCUGCAUGACUCAACAUCCGGGGCUAGAAGCAAACAGUCUUAACCCAUAUACACUCCAAAAUAUACACAACAUUCUUCAGAGUGGACUACGGGCCUUUGAGAGGGAGAACAGCAGAAGAGCUUUACAGACACUUGGCCUAUCGUAGCUGUGUGAGCUGGUGCUGGGGAUAUUUGGGACGCAACUGCAGAGUAGUCAUCCCGUCGUGUGUUGUCCUGAGGAUCCGGCUUGAGUUUCCAGACCCGACCGGACAGUAUCUUGGCUUCCGCCCGCCCCUUGGCUGAACCUGGACUUGUGUCAGAGUCAGUGAACAGAGUCACUAAACCGGAUCGUUAUCCUCUGCCUCGAGUUGAAGAUUGUCGGAAAUGUGAAUUUGGCCAGGGUACAGUUACAGUUCUGGGAAAAAUCGUCGGUUGGGGGCAAGUCCAGCCGGUGCACUCUAAAGUAGAGGGUCCUUCUUCGUAACGUGAGCUCCGCCAUUUUUUGGGGAUGGCAGGGUAUUAUCGUAGCUUCUGUAGCAACUUCUCUGCUGUUGCGGCUCCGCUCACCGACCUGUUGAGUCCCAAGAAACGUUUCGAGUGGUCUGACAGUUGUCAGUAAAGGCCUUAAUGACUCAUGCUCCGGUUUUAUCUGCGCCUGUGUUUGAUCGCCCUUUCAAAGUUGCGGUUGAUGCGAGUGACGUAGGAGCGGGUGCUGUCCUCCUUCAGGAUGGACACGAUGAAGUUUAACACCCGGUCUCCUAUUAUUCUUAAAAAUGUAACCGUCAUCAGCGCGUGUACUCCACUAUAGAGAAAGAGGCUCUAGCACUUGUUUUGGCGUUAAAACAUUUUGAAGUUGAUCAGUGUCAUGGAUGCCAGGUCAGGCUACUAGGCUUUCAAGCUCACAGAGGAAUCAUCCAAGUUGACCACCUUCAACACUGUUUUUGGAUGAUACAGAUUUCUCCUUUUGGACUAAAAUCAGCUCAAGAUGAGUUUCAGCAGAAAGUUGAUGAGACUUAUGAAGGUCUACAAGGUGUCACUGCUAUUGUCGAUGAUGUUCUGAUAGAAGGCAAAAGCAAAGAGGAGCAUGACGAAAACCUCCACGCAAUGCUGCAACGCUCCAGAGAGCGAGGAGUCAAACUCAACCCAGAGAAGAGCAAAAUGUGUGCCACAGAGGUCAGCUACUUUGGACACCACAUCUCCAAAGAUGGAAUCAAGCCUGAUCCAGCAAAGAUUUCUGCUGUAAGAGACAUGGAGCCACCCAGAAAUAAAGGUGAGCUAGAGACUAUUCUUGGCAUGGUUAAUUACUUGUCAAAGUUUGCCCCCAUGCUCUCAGACAUCAAUGCCCUCCUUUAAAGGAGUCAAGUGAGUUUGUUUGGGAUACAUAACACGACGAAGCAUUCAGGAAAAUGAAGGAGCUAGUCACACGUGAACCAGGUCCGAUACGAGCCUACUUUGACCCAAGCAAAGAGCUCAGGUUGCAAAUUGACGCAUCGAAGUAUGGACUAGGUGCAGUCCUACUGCAAGAAGGAAAGCCUAUUGGCUAUGCAUCUAAAUCACUGUCAGACAGCGAAGUCAACUAUGCUCAGAUUGAAAAAGAGCUGUACGCCAUUUUGUUUGGAUGUAACGUUUCCACCAAUAUGUGUAUGGCAGUCACGUCAUCGUGGAAAGUGAACACAAACCACUUGAGUCCAUCAUGCAAAAGCCACUGGCAGCAGCGCCUCCACGGUUACAGAGGAUGAUACUUCGACUUCAGUGAUAUGAUUUCACCAUCAUCCACAGACCAGGCAAAGACAUUCCUGUUGCAGACACCCUCUCCAGGAAGUCACUGUCUGACCAUGACGACACCCUUAGAGAAGCUAUGGACAUGCAGGUGCACACAGUGUACAGUAACUUACCUAUUAGCGACACCAGGCUACAAGCAAUCAGAGCAGAGACUGAAAAAGACACACAGCUUCUAACAAAUACCAUAAAAAUGGAUGUAGACAAUGCGCUGUAUGCAUCACAGAGUACUGGAAUCAUCGUGAUGAGCUGUCUCUGAUGAACGACAUCAUCUUCAAAGGUGAGAAAAUCCUCAUCCCUGCCUCAAGACGCACAAAGAUGUUGUCUCGAAUACAUGCCUCUGACUUGGGCAUAGAAAAAUGUAAUCUGAGAGCCUGGAUAUGCUGUUUUGGCCCGGCAUGAACAAGCAGGUUGAGGAAAUGGUUGGAGAGUGCCCAACCUGUCUCGAGCACAGACCCUCAAACACUAAAGAGCCCCUUGUAAACCACAAGAUCCCUGAUAGGCCAUGGCAAACAAUUGCUAAAGAUCUGUUCACCUGGCUACACAGCACAACAUCCUCUGCUGUCAUUCAAAAACUGAAAUCAGCUUUUGCCAGACACGGUAUACCAGAGACUGUUGUAUCAGAUAGUGGCCCCCAGUACAAGUGUAAAUAAUUUGAAACCUUUGUAGAAACAUGGGAGUUUAACCAUAUCACCACAAGUCCAUACUAUCCCCAGCAAUGGUCUUGCAGAAAAAUCUGUGCAAAUUGCCAAGUCACUCCUGAAAAAAGCCAAAGCUGAUCACAAGGAUGCCUAUCUGAACCUCCCAGAGUACCACAACACACCGGUUGAUAACUUCAGAUCACCAGCUCAGCUACUUAUGAGUCGUCACUUACGCUCCAUCCUACCCAACACCCACAAGCAGCUUCAGCCCAAGAUCGUCAGCCAACAAAGUGCUCAUACCAGGAGAGCUCACCAGCAACAAACCCAGAAACGAUAUUAUGACAGGUCAGCCAAGCAGAUGACACAGCUGCACGAAGGACAAAACAUCCGUUUCCAAGAUCCAGGAUACUGGAAGCCUGCAGUCAUCAUUCAGCCUGCUGACACUAACAGAUCUUACCACAUACACACACCUGAAGGACAAGAGUACAGGAGAAACAGACGUCACCUUCUUAUCACAACAGAAACAUCCAACACACACACAGACAGACAACCUGAUGACAACAAGCAGCAAACACCACACAGUCCCACAUCACUCACCUCACAGAUCACAAGUGAAACUGUCCCUCAAACAGUUCCUCACACUGUCCCUUACCAGACCAGGUACGGACGAGAGAUAAAGCCCAGGUCUGUUUUGGACUUCUAAACAAAUGUAAAAGCGUGUAGGCAGAUCGCUGCCCUUAAAUAAAAAUUGUUCAUUGGUUAUAUGCUGUGAUGUAUUCUGAUGCAGAGUUGAUUUUACUAAACAUUUUGAUUUGGGUUUAUUCACUAAAAGCACAUUAUGCCAUGUAUACUGUAAUUACAAGUAUGUGUUACGUUUAUCUUUUCUAAAAGGGGGGUGUAAUAUUCUCACAGAAUAUCAUUGUGGUUGCCUAGCAACACUGUUGUGUUGUAAGUUAGUAACAUGUGUUCCUAUUGGUUGCUGACUGAGCCUGAUUGUGAUUGGUCCGCAGUGUAUGCAGAUGGAGCCUGUUCUGUUUAGUAUGUGUGAGAAGUUCACCUUCCUAGUAAGACUUCACCAGAAUGUACAGAGUACACGACUGCAAAUAAAGAUUCAGUUAAAGCACGUCGUCGUAACAGAUACAAAACAAGACAGGUAACUGCCGGUAAUGAGAGGGAGAUUGCCUGCACAGAAAACUACACCCACAUGCAAUCACACAGCCAUGCACCUCAGGACACACAGGAGAGGAGAAACAGAGAGAAAUGAAUAACAACAUACAAGAGAGUAAGGGAGGGGGGCUGCAAUGGUGUUAAACCACAACACUCUAAAUGCAAGGAAACGCUCGUGUGAAAAGUGUUUGUCACUGUGUGGUUCAUGACCACUUCUCUGGUUAAAGAGAAAUGGUUUAAAGUGAACUGAUGAUGCUGUGUAAGAAGUGUGAUAUGAAAUGUAAGUACAAAGGAGAAGUUGUUCAUGUAUUUACAGUUUCUUAAAUUUACUAAGAAGUCUAAUGUAUGUUGUAUUCAAUAUUCUACUAAAUUAUACACUCAUAUUAAAACAUGAAACCAAUAAAAUAAACAACCUCAACAUACAGCCAAAGCUUGGGGUAUCCAGUUCCUCAGAUGGUAGAGCACGUACUAUUUAAAGUCCUCACCACAGUGAGUGGACCAGGUUCAGUUCUGGUCCCUUUGCUGUUAUUCUCUCUCUACCUCAACUUAACUGUCCAUCUUACACUGCACCUAUCCAAAAAAAGCAAAAUAGAAAAUAGUUUGAACAAAAAAAACAUCAGAAGCAAACUUCCUCAUUCACACAGAAGGGAGGAUAAAGACGUUGAUGUUUUUGUGUCUGAGCAUGACAUUGUGUAGGACUGUGCUGGUUUCUUUUUAUUAACUUUGAUGUUGUUUCCUUUGUAUGGAAAGCUUUCAAUGUUCUAAACAGAAAUAAGGAUGAAUGAAACUAGACAUUUGAGAUGAUGAAAAUACAAAUAUGACUUUUCCAGUUUUUGUGUUUUGAGGGUUUGAAUCCAAAUCUGUUUUCCAUAUGUAAUAAAAAGAUUAGUGAUAGUAUAGUCCUCCUUCAAGCGGGCGGCCUGUGGCUCUUUUCCUGCUGUACUGCUUCACUGACAAAGUAGAUAAGGUACACAUUAAGAUUGUAAAAAAUGAGUGAUGUUGUUCACAUAAAAUGUUGCACCAAAUAGCAUUAACAUCAAAACAAAAUAUGACAUUAAAAGUGACUGUGAGCAUGUUCCAGUUUGUUUUAAGUUUUGUGCGCCCUGUGGAAAAGUAUGGAGUGUGAAGUCUCUUUUAGAGGACUGAUGAUCUGGAUUUGUUGAUCCCCAAGAGUCUGUAUCUGGAUCAGGAUGAUCAAAUCCAUGAUUGAUCUAAAAAAGGGAUUAAAAAUGAGCUGGAUCACAUGACCCAACAUAGAAAGAACCAAAUCUGGAUCAUUCUUAUCUACAUUAAACCUUUUAAACCAACAGGCCCUCUAGAUAAGACAAAGAUACAACAACAGCUUGAGGGCCAUGUUGCUCGUUUGUUAGAGCAUGUACCAUUUAAAGCAUGAGUCCUUAUCUCAGUGGACCAGGUUCAGUUCUAACCUGGGUCCUUUAGUGGGUGACGUUCUCUCUCUUCCUCGUCUUAACUGUCCAUCUU